rnacentral:rRNA from 1 species
ACCAGACUCCUACGGGAGGCAGCAGUGGGGGAUAUUGCACAAUGGGGGGAACCCUGAUGCAGCGACGCCGCGUGGGUGAAGAAGCGCCUCGGCGCGUAAAGCCCUGUCAGCAGGGAAGAAAAUGACGGUACCUGAAGAAGAAGCCCCGGCUAACUACGUGCCAGCAGCCGCGGUAAUACGUAGGGGGCAAGCGUUAUCCGGAUUUACUGGGUGUAAAGGGGGCGCAGACGGCGAUGCAAGCCAGGAGUGAAAGCCCGGGGCCCAACCCCGGGACUGCUCUUGGAACUGCGUGGCUGGAGUGCAGGAGGGGCAGGCGGAAUUCCUGGUGUAGCGGUGAAAUGCGUAGAUAUCAGGAGGAGCACUGGUGGCGAAGGCGGCCUGCUGGACUGCAACUGACGUUGAGGCCCGAAAGCGUGGGGAGCAAACAGGAUUAGAUACCCGGGUA